AUCCAGCUGUAUGUGGACUAACUUGGAGUUUAGCAUGAGAUCUAUAGAGUCGUGAAUCUCCGGCAAGUGAGUACCUAUAAGGAUUUUCACGCUGUGAAGUUCAGAGAUUUUUAGGCUGGUCUUGUCAAAACCUAUCACCCUUCCAUGGUUCCGGAGGAGGUUUGAGAUACAUCUCUGACUCCAGCCAGAGAUAGGCAAAUGAGAGAUGGAGAUCCAUGCUAGACGACUCUCUGUCACAUCUUCUUCCGUCCACGGGCGAACUUCAUCAAAGUAGAGCUUCCAGCAUUCCAUACCUUUCUGCAUGGCUUGUUGCAGAGAUUUCUCACCAUCAAAGCUUAUGAUUGCCUGGGAACCCCCCAGGAAACGAAC
rnacentral:lncRNA from 1 species